GAUCAAAGUAGUCAAGAAAGUAAAUCCGAGACUCAUUCUGCGAAGUUCUUUAAAGAUAAAGAAUCUUUCACUACAAGGAAAAAGGGCUUAGGCAACUCCGAAUCAGCAAUAGUUUUCUAAGCGUUGCAUAAAGGCAUUUAUGGCUGCACUUUUCCAACCUUUGUUUUAGCCCUUUAACAACCGCUGCUAAAGAUUAAGUAAGGCAACAGUUUUAUCACUACUUUUUUGUUAGAAUAUCAAACAACGGUUAAAAAAACUUAACCUAAAGCCUAUUAUAUUUUGGUAAACGCGCCAAGGACCCAAAUUUUUCCCUCCCAUGAAUUUUUUUCCCACAAACCAAAUCCCACCAAAACCCCAAGCUGCCUGUUUUUUCUCUCUCUAACUCAAUUUUUAUCUCAACUCAUUUUCUCUCUCUAACUCAUGAACAAGAUGCUAAUCCUCUCAUCAAUCUCUCACCCUAAUUUCGAAUUUAUCUGUUCUUUUCUCUCAUAAAUUUCAUUCAUCUUUAGAUUUCCUAAUUUUUCUCAUAACCCCCUACCGUACCUAGCUUAUAUUUCAUAAUUAGGGUUACUAACAUCUCAUUCACGAGCGUCUAGGUAGUAUCAACGAAUUUCUUAAUAAGAAGGUCUGAUAGCAGCUAGCAAAAUUGUGUGUAGAAACUGUACAAUUAUCGGGUCAGCAAGUUUCUCAUCAAGUGCUAGUGGGUCUGCUAAUUUGUUGACCUUUUUACAUCCUUUUGAAGUCGUCAAUAAAGACUGAUUAGAAUGUGGCAAAGUAAGGAAAAAGUUUAGGUUCAAAGGUAGGCUUAAAAGUACCUGAACCAACGAAGUUGACCGAAUAUGAGAAACAAAGGAACCUGACUAUCGAAAAAAAUGCUCUCAAAUUCAAAAAGCUUGGGAUGGAAAAGUUGGCUAAUGAUUUAUUAGCCAAAGUUAAGAGCUUGCAGCAAAAAGACAAAAAGAAACACCAGAUCAUAGAGUUGAAAUAUCAAGAUUAUGUGCCUGAUGAAGAUCAAUUUGAUGACGAUGAUGAUUCUGAACAAGAAUUUUUUGAAGUUCCAAGCAAUGAGAUAGAAGAAAUUAAUGAGUUAGUGGAAACACUAACAAAAUCUAUAUCUAAGAAGGUAAUGACCAAGGAACUUGCAUCUGCUAAAAAAAAAAAAAAAAAAAAAAAAAAAAAAGAAGCCAUUAUGUCCUUCCAUGGCGAUGGAUGAUUUCAUGAAGUUACAGCAACAAAAAGAUCCAAGUGAAACUCAACAAGUGGAUGUGGAGAUACAAAAUUUGGAAACACGUUUAAGAUCCAAGCGAAAGCAAACUGCUAUAAUUCCAUCUGAAAAUCAAACUGAUGUCAGCGUCAUUGAUAAUCAAGUAGUUGUCCCUCCGGAAAAGCAAGGCCCCAAGAAAAAAACUAGAGGGCUAACGAAUAUGUUUGAGGUUCAUGCUCGAAAAUGGGAAGACCGCGUGGCAAUCUACUGCAAUGAUAAAGGACAACCUGUAGGCCCUUCUAAAGCUAAGGAUGAACUUAGUCUAUUUCUGGGAACCAUUGCUCGUGAUCAUAAUUGGGCACCCUUAAAUUAUACUGAUUGGCACAAAGUACCUAACAAGGAUAAGAUUUGGGAAUAUGUUCAAAGCAAGUACAUCCUUCCAAAUAUUGCUAAAGAUUGGGUUCUUACAACUGUUGAUUGGUUUUGGAGAGGUUGGAAAUGCCGACUUAAGAAAUUACAUUACUACUCAUAUUCCAACAACAGUGGUAGAUGGACGUUUCGCCCAUUGAAUGUGCCUGAAGCACAUUUCAAAACUCUUCUAGCUUACUAGAAUACACAGGCAGCAAAGUAGCAAGACAAAUGCAUACAACUGGUCCUGAGGGUUUUGCGGGGUAUACAUCAGGAAAUGUUAGAAAUGGAUGGUGAAGCACCAUCAAAAUUAAAGAUGUUCGAACGUACGCGACGUCGUAAAGAAGGAAGGACCUAUAAGACAUCAGCUGACGAUACACAAAAGAAAAUUGAAGCAAUGAGGCGUUUGGAAGCAUCCCAAGUAGAUGUAAGUGAUGAUUCUAAAAAGGAUCCAUUUGAUGAAGUAAUGAAAGAAGACUAUAAUGGAUAUGUUCGUCUAAUUGGGAAAGGAGUUUCUCGUAAAAAGUUGAAGGCAAGUGGAGCUAGUAAUAAACUAGUUUUUCCAACUAAGGUUAUGGAGACCAUUAAUGUCGAUGUGCAAAAGGAUAUGCUUGUUGAAAAAGAAGAAUUAGAUAAGGAAAAGGAAGCACAUGCUGCCAAAGUAGCUGAAUUUACUGAGAUGCAAAAAAAUUAUGAAGCUCAAAAGGAAAGUCUGGCACAUGAAGUGGUAUCCUUAGUACUUGCUCAUCAACUUAGCGAAAAAAGGACCUUAAUCUUACUCCAGAUUUAAUCACCAAGGCUGUUGUAUCUACUAUUGAUGGUGGUGCAAAAACUUAGGCAUUAGCCACUGUUGAAUCAGGAUAUUUAUAUAUGGAGCAUACAACUUUUUGUAAAUUGAAGUAUCCAGCUCGUUAGGAUUAGGCGACAUUUUGAAAUUAGAUUUGAUUCAUAUUUUGAUAUAUAUGCAAGUUUUUGGACAUGUCAGAAGGCUUGGUAGGAUAUAUGUAUGCAAGUUUUUGGACAUGUAAGAAGCCUUGGUAGUAUAUGGGUUGAUGUAAUUGAUUGUGUAUAUAUACAUAUAUAUAUAUAUAUGUGUGUGUGUGUGUGUG